UACGGGGGGGGCAAGCGUUGUUCGGAAUUACUGGGCGUAAAGGGCGCGUAGGCGGCUCGCUAAGUCGGAUGUGAAAACUCUGGGCUCAACCCAGAGCCUGCAUUCGAAACUGACGAGCUCGAGUGCUGGAGGGGAAAGCGGAAUUCCUGGUGUAGCGGUGAAAUGCGUAGAUAUCAGGAGGAACACCGGUGGCGAAGGCGGCUUUCUGGACAGAAACUGACGCUGAUGCGCGAAAGCUAGGGGAGCAAACAGG
rnacentral:rRNA from 1 species